rnacentral:rRNA from 1 species
AUGUUAGCGGCGGACGGGUGAGUAACACGUGGGUAACCUACCUAUAAGACUGGGAUAACUCCGGGAAACCCGGGGCUAAUACCGGAUAAUAUUUUGAACCGCAUGGUUCGAUAGUGAAAGACGGUUUCGGCUGUCACUUAUAGAUGGACCCGCGCCGUAUUAGCUAGUUGGUAAGGUAACGGCUUACCAAGGCGACGAUACGUAGCCGACCUGAGAGGGUGAUCGGCCACACUGGAACUGAGACACGGUCCAGACUCCUACGGGAGGCAGCAGCG